CCUUCAUGUGAUAACAAUGUGUAAUGAAAGCAAGUGUUUAAUUAGUUAAAAAUCAAGCUUAUUUCAAGUCUAAUUUGAUGCAUAACUCACAACAAAACAAUUCCUGUGUUCACCAAUUCAUACCUUGAUCAUCAAUUAUGAGAUGACAAAAAGAUAUGUUAAUGACUUGGGAAUUAAAAUUUAAUGAAUAAAAAUUUUCAAUAGAAGUGAACAUAAUUCAGUUAUGUUCAGUUGCACC
rnacentral:lncRNA from 1 species